rnacentral:piRNA from 1 species
UGAGUGUGUAUGGCAUAGCUAUGUCCGUC